GCCCUGAUAGUAUAAAAAUUACCCUGGUCUUGUAAAUCAGAAAUGAAGAAUAAAUCUUCUCAGGACA
rnacentral:tRNA from 1 species